rnacentral:rRNA from 1 species
CUCUUCGGGGAUGAUUAAACCGGCGCACGGGUGAGUAACACGUGAGUGACCUGCCUUUUAGACUGGAACAACUUACCGAAAGGUGAGCUAAUGCCGGAUGAGUUAUAUAAGUGCAUGUUUAUAUAGGAAAAGUUGGGGAGACCUGACGCUGAAAGAUGGACUCGCGUCCCAUUAGCUAGUUGGUAGGGUAAUGGCCUACCAAGGCGACGAUGGGUAGCCGGCCUGAGAGGGUGGCCGGCCACACUGGGACUGAGACACGGCCCAGACUCCUACGGGAGGCAGCAGUGGGGAAUUUUGCGCAAUGCUCGUAAGAGUGACGCAGCGACGCCGCGUGAAUGACGAAGGCCUUCGGGUCGUAAAGUUCUUUCGACAGGGAAGAAAAUGCCUAUAAGUAACUGUGUAUGUAUUGACGGUACCUGUAUAAGCAGCCCCGGCUAACUCCGUGCCAGCAGCCGCGGUAAUACGGAGGGGGCGAGCGUUGUUCGGAGUGACUGGGCGUAAAGAGCACGUAGGCGGUGUUGUAAGUCAUUAGUCAAAGACUAGAGCUCAACUUUAGUAAGGCUAGUGAUACUAUAAUACUAGAGUAUCAGAGAGGAUUGCAGAAUUCCUGGUGUAGCGGUGAAAUGCGUAGAUAUCAGGAGGAAUACCGUUAGCGAAGGCGGCAAUCUGGCUGGAAACUGACGCUGAGGUGCGAAAGCGUGGGUAGCAAACAGGAUUAGAUACCCUGGUAGUCCACGCUGUAAACGAUGGAUGCUAGGUGUUGGGCUUUUAAGUUCAGUGCCGCNAGCAACGCGAUAAGCAUCCCGC